GUACACGUAGUCCACAUGCCCAGGGGACGUGGAUAACCUCGGGAAACUGAGGAUAAACCGCGAUAGGUCACUACUUCUGGAAUGGGUAAUGACUCAAACCUAUAUGGCCCCUGGAUUGGACUGCGGCCGAUCAGGCUGUUGGUGAGGUAAUGGCCCACCAAACCUGUAACCGGUACGGGCUCUGAGAGGAGGAGCCCGGAGAUGGGCACUGAGACAAGGGCCCAGGCCCUAUGGGGCGCAGCAGGCGCGAAACCUCUGCAAUAGGCGAAAGCCUGACAGGGUUACUCUGAGUGAUCUCCGUUAAGGAGAUCUUUUGGCACCUCUAAAAAUGGUGCAGAAUAAGGGGUGGGCAAGUCUGGUGUCAGCCGCCGCGGUAAUACCAGCACCCCGAGUGGUCGGGACGUUUAUUGGGCCUAAAGCAUCCGUAGCCGGUUCUACAAGUCUUCCGUUAAAUCCAGCUGCUUAACAGAUGGGCUGCGGAAGAUACUAUGGAGCU
rnacentral:rRNA from 1 species